rnacentral:lncRNA from 13 species
AUAGCAAUGUGAAACUUUCGUAGAUAUUUUCUUGUUUUAAGUGUAUUAUUUUUUACAAUAAAAGGUUCCAGUCCACAAAGCGCAAAAAUCAGUGAGAGCAAAUGCAACAUUCAAUGGUCAAAUCAGUAGAUAUACAGUAGCAGCCUGAAAAUGUUUAUAUUAACAUGAAUUAACUCUGCUUUUAGUAACUAUAAUCGUUUUAGGAGUAUCUACCUCUGAAUAAGGAAAUCAGGGUAAAGAGUCCCUUUGAUAACAAUGGUGCUCUCUCACCCCUCCUCCUUCUCUUUAUCCUCCGCUCCCUCUCUUCCCUCCCUCUCUUCCCUCCCUCUCUUCCCUCCCUCUCACGACUCCACAUCCCCAGGCUCUGUUGGACGAGCGAUCACCAUGGAGGAAGGUUUCUCUGUCAUGUACAUCACGAGCUCCACCGGAGACUCCGUCAGGGAUUGCAUUGCCAGGGCUGAGGAGACCUUCAGGAAACAGCACCCUGCCUACACAGACCACCUGUUCACAGGCAUGUUUUUCCCCGAGGUCGGGAAAAGUGGAGAGACUGUAGUACGCUGUCUACCUGGGGCGAUCCACGGCAGCAGGGAGCCGACCGCCAUCCUCCACCAGGUGCUGGCUGAGCUCUCUGUCGUCCCCUACCUGCAGGACCUCAACCACGCAGACACCACACUGGUACGCAACUAUCAGAGCCUCUGGACAAAAUUGUAUACAGUAUGCCUACUUUGCACUGACUCCUCCUCUGUGCACUGACACACAACACGAUGCAGUGAUCUCAG